rnacentral:rRNA from 1 species
GCUUCACUUUGAGAUGAGCCUGCGGCGUAUUAGCUAGUUGGUGGGGUAAAGGCCUACCAAGGCGACGAUGCGUAGCCGACCUGAGAGGGUGAUCGGCCACACUGGGACUGAGACACGGCCCAGACUCCUACGGGAGACAGCAGUUAGGAAUAUUCGUCAAUGGGGGGAACCCUGAACGAGCAAUGCCGCGUGAACGAAGAAGUCUCUGGAUUGUAAAGUUCUGUUUGUUAGGGACGAACGACCAGUAUAGGAAAUGAUACUGGAGUGACGGUACCUUUCAAGAAAGCUCCGGCUAACUACGUGCC